UUCACUACUGUCUCUGAUUCGCUUGGUGCAGGUCGGGAAUCAAAGCUUGGCUUUGCUUGAUUGAUUUCGAUCUAGAAAGCGAAUUGAAAUCCCGCCUUGCAUCAACUGAAUCGGAGAUUAUAGUGAAA